UGCGGUUAUAAACUGAGCACUCGCUGUCCCGAGGAAGGAACACACAUUUGACUAGACAGUAUCUUCUCUAAAGAUGUGCUGCGCAUCAAUUCAUCUCCUCAUUGGUGCCUUACUUGUCUUUGCUGUUGAAAAUGAGGCCACAACCAUGAUAACCAGCAUAGAAAAUACCACAGCUCCAGUUUCAGUGUUUAUUCAAAACACCACCCAAUUCAAAGAAAUGGACUUUCUAGACAACUUUACCACUCCAAGCUUCACUGUCACCCUGCCAAACACGACGGUUGUGAAUAUCACAUCAGAUGGAGAAUCAGAAUCACCUACUCCACCGCCCUCAGAACAUCCGCAGACCAGCAACUACACCACAGACGAUUCUCUGAAGACCGUUUCACAAUCAAGCACAAAUAAUAUGAUCAAAAGCACAACUACUAGCAAAGAAACCAUAACUCAAGCAACGCAACCUAUCAAAAACCAGUGGCCAACUUAUAUAAUUAUCUUUAUCAUUGCUGUUCUGUGCCUCUCUGGGGUAGUAGUUUAUUGUUGCCUUAAAAAGAAAUCCAGGAAGUACUCUGUGGACUUACAUCCCAAACAAGAAGAUGCUCAGAUCCCACUCAGCACAGUGGAUGUAGAGGUGUUUGACACCACAUCAGUCAAAGAUAUGCAAACAUUCACUCCUGUCGAGUCCACCGAGCCUGCGCCUGUGAAAGAAUCUGAGAAACCUGAGGGAGGGAAAGAAUCAGCUGAUGUUAAACAAGAAAACCAACAGAAUUUAUCCAGCACUCAGGCCACAGAGAACCCAACGGAUAAAAUGGAGGGGCUGACCAUAGUGGAUCUGACUGAUGGAGAACCGACGAUCUCCACCAAAACCUCAAUGGAAUCCUUAGAUGAUGUGCUCAAUGAAAACAACAGCAACAAUACAAGAGUUGAAGGUUAG
rnacentral:lncRNA from 1 species